rnacentral:tRNA from 1 species
UGGCUCAGAUGGUAAAGCAUCUGCCUAUAAUGCAGGAGAUCCGGGUUCAAUCCCUGG